rnacentral:rRNA from 1 species
AGUGAACGCUGGCGGUAGGCCUAACACAUGCAAGUCGAACGGCAGCACAGUAAGUGCUUGCUCUUACGGGUGGCGAGUGGCGGACGGGUGAGGAAUACAUCGGAAUCUACUUUUUCGUGGGGGUUAACGUAGGGAAACUUACGCUCAUACCGCAUACGCCCUACGGGUGAAAGCAGGGGAUCUUCGGACCUUGCGCGAUUGAAUGAGCCGAUGUCGGAUUGGCUAGUUGGCGGGGUAAAGGCCCUCCAAGGCGCCGAUCCGCAGCUGGUGUGUGAGGAGGAUCGGCCACAUGGGAGCGGGAACGGGGACAAUAGGCCUACGGGAGGCACCAGUGGGGAAUAGGGGACAGUGGGCGCAAGCCUGAUCCAGUCAUACCGCGUGGGUGAAGAAGGCCUUCGGGUUGUAAAGCCCUUUUGUUGGGAAAGAAAAGCAGCAGGUUAAUACCCCGCUGUUCUGACGGUACCCAAAGAAGAAGCACCGGCUAACUUCGUG